AUCGCUUCUCGGCCUUUUGGCUAAGAUCAAGUGUAGUAAAUUUCUUGUGCUAGACACUCCUGAGUAUAAACACUCAGGGACUGAUUUUUAUGUUAUUUUUUAACUAUUU
rnacentral:snRNA from 1 species